AUUCAAGUGUUCUAUGAUUUUUUCUAGUAACAGUCCUGUGGU
rnacentral:antisense_RNA from 1 species